UGGGGAAUCUUGGACAAUGGGCGAAAGCCUGAUCCAGCCAUGCCGCGUGAGUGACGAAGGUCUUCGGAUUGUAAAGCUCUUUUGGCGGGGACGAUAAUGACGGUACCUUCAAAGGAAGCACCGGCUAACUCUGUGCCAGCAGCCGCGGUAAUACAGAGGGUGCAAGCGUUGUUCGGAAUUACUGGGCGUAAAGCGCGUGUAGGCGGUUGUUCAAGUCUUGUGUGAAAGCCCUGGGCUCAACCCAGGAAGUGCGCAAGAUACUGGAUAGCUGGAGUGUCGGAGAGGAGGGCGGAAUACCCGGUGUAGAGGUGAAAUUCGUAGAUAUCGGGUGGAACACCUGAGGUGAAGACGGGUUGCUGGGCUGACACUGACGCUGAGGCGCGAAAGCCAGGGGAGCAAACGGGAUUAGAUACCCCAGUAGUCCCUGAGCGGGCUGGCAAGGCGCAU
rnacentral:rRNA from 1 species